ACUCACUGGCUCGGCGAUGGCAGCUGUCUACUUGCCUCUUUCAUCCUCGUCAUCAACAGUGCACAUGUCUUAUGAUCGCUGACAUCGACUACUCUGAAAU
ensembl:ncRNA Y76F7A.4 ncRNA